rnacentral:rRNA from 1 species
UACGUAGGGGGCGAGCGUUGUCCGGAGUUACUGGGCGUAAAGCGCACGCAGGCGGUCUGCUAAGUUUGGAGUGACAGUUGGUGGCUUAACUGCCAAAGUGCUUCGAAAACUGACAGACUUGAGGGCUUCAGAGGGACACGGAAUUCCGGGUGGAGUGGUGAAAUGCGUAGAGAUCCGGAGGAACACCAAAGGCGAAGGCAGUGUCCUGGGGAGUACC